rnacentral:rRNA from 1 species
GACGAACGCUGGCGGCGUGCUUAACACAUGCAAGUCGAACGGAAAGGCGCUGCUUUCGGGGUACUCGAGUGGCGAACGGGUGAGUAACACGUGGGUGAUCUGCCCUGCACUUCGGGAUAAGCUUGGUAAACUGGGUCUAAUUCCGGCUAGGAAACAUCUUGAGUGUGGUGGUUGGAAAGUUUUUUCGGUUUAUGAUGAGCUCGCGGUGUAGCAGCUCGUUGGUGUGGUAAUGGCUUAACAAGGCGGCUAGGCGUAGCCGGGCUGAGAGGGUGACCGGCCACGCGAGGGUGGAGGGACACAUUAGACUCGUACGAGAGGCAGGAGUCGUACGGGAGGCAGAAGUGGGGAAUAUUGGACAAUGCGAGGCAGCGUGAUGGAGGAAGGCCGCCGGGGGGAUGAACGCCGUCGGGUUGUAAGCUCCUUUGGGUAGGGAAGAAGGUUUGUCGUGACGGUACCUAGACAAGAAGCACCGGCUAACUACGUG